rnacentral:rRNA from 1 species
UACAGAGGUCUCAAGCGUUGUUCGGAUUCAUUGGGCGUAAAGGGUGCGUAGGCGGCGGGGUAAGUCAGGUGUGAAAUCUCGGGGCUCAACUCCGAAACUGCAUUUGAUACUGCCUUGCUAGAGUACUGGAGAGGAGAUUGGAAUUUACGGUGUAGCAGUGAAAUGCGUAGAUAUCAGGAGGAACACCGGUGGCGAAGGCGGCUUGCUGGGCGUGAUCUGACGCUGAGGCGCGAAAGCGUGGGGAGCGAACAGG